AGUCCCUCUGCUUUGAUUGCUGUGUCUCUUUGGUAGUGCUUUUGGAAGCGGCGCCCGCGCAGAGCGAGGCGUUGGCCGGGCCGGCGCCUGAAGCGCUCGGGGCCGCCGGGCAGGGCAGUGCCCGGCUGGUGGGUGCCUCGCAGAGAGAAGAGCCCGGCCCUGGGAAGGCAGGGGCCUGGGCUCAAGCUGCUCUGGACCGCUGUGGGGAUGGGUUUGAAGUUUUGGGAUCGCUUGUUUCUGUCCCUACCUUCCCACUGAAAACAAUAACUUAAGAAGUCCUCCUCUGGACCGGUCCAGAGAAAUUGUGGAGUCUCCAUCCCUGGAGAUGCUUAAAACACUUUUGCUCAGGCAAAGUCGUGAGCAACCUAUUCUACCUAAUCCCGCUUUUUGAGCAGGAGAGAUUGGACUAGAUGAUCUCCAGAGGUAUUGUCCAACCCCCACCAUUCUGUCCUUCUGUAAAGGGGCUUUGCACUGCCCUUUGGAACUGGAAUCUGUUGAUGACCUGUGUUCAGAUCACACUGUAGCUUGUUACACUGCAGCUUGUCACACUGAAUGGCAGCCUGAAUAAUUUAAUAUUGAACUGUGAUUAAUCCCAAGAUGAAAGCUAAGAUAGGCUGGUAAGAGGCAGUGUUCUUUGCUGCAGCAUUUCCCACCUGAGGUAAUUUUCCUUGUUCUGAAAGUGUCAAGUACAGUUGGGCAAUGUACUACGUAGGAAGAAGGGAAAGAAUCUCAAAAACAAAUAAAUGAACAAAAAAACCCCUUUAGAUUUGCUUGUGCAAGAAGAAGAUUGUUCUUCCACUCAGCCAGGUUUUGAGAGGACAAAUUAAUUGUUUCUCUGACAAAACUAUACAUUGGAGGCUGUUAAUGAUCCCAUAGUCUGUGCUAAAGGUUUUAGCUGAUUGUGUUUGUCAUCAGCUUUUACUAAAGAAAAAGCAAGCCUUCUUGGCUGUGUGGAUAUCACAGGAACAAACUGAUUCCAUUCAUGUAGAUAAUGAUAACAGAGCCAAAACAAAAAUAUUGCAAGUGUCCUAUGUGGACCAAUAUACAGAAUUUCACAAGGGAUUGUAGUGGUCCGAUAUACAGAACUAACAUACUUCCUGUUCCUUAUUUGCUGAUCAGGUCAUAUUUACCUGCCUGUCAGGACUGUUGGAGCACUGGAUGGAGAGCAGGUCGUAUGGAGAGGAUUAGGGAGUAAAAGGCAGCUUGUACUGAAGUGCAGGGAAAGUAUAAAUAUUGAUAUAUAUUGGCACAGUGCCUGGCCUUAAUGCUUAAAAUCCUUUGGAGAGCUGUCUGCAUAUUUACUCUAUUAAUGAUCAAAUGCAAGGCUGUGUUGGGAAAGGUCUUCCAUUUGGAAGUCAGUAGUUGAGACUGUCUUGCCUAUGAAAAAGAGGGAGAAUUUUCGUUAGAGGAUGUAGGAUUCUGGCUGGUAAUAGUCUUAAUUCAAGGUAUUUUUAGAGAAUUGAUUUAAUACAAGCAGAACAAAUGGCCAGAAGUGUAAUGAGAGACAAGUUGAAAUUAGAAAGUAGAUGUGCAUUUUGAAUGUAUUGUCAUAGCAACUGAUUCAAUUCUCCCUCUCUUGCUGUUCUGGGGACCUUUUAAAUGUGCUUUGGCUAAAUAAAAAGUAUUAGACUAUUUCAGAGCCAAAAGGUCAGUUCUUGUUGUCUCUUUUGCACUUUAAUUCUAGUACACUGAUACUUGCUAACCACUUAUAACCCUAGAUGCAGAAUGAGAACUUGGGUUAUUAACAAUAAAGAAGUAAACAGCAGAAAGACUUGACCUUUCUUUUGAAUUGCCCUACAGUGUUAAAAAAUACCAAACAAACCUCCUUCCCCAAAGAAACACCCCCCAAAAUACCCCAACAACUCACCAAACAGAAAAUCACCGACAACCAAAAAGCAGAAGUAACAAACAUGAACAGCAGGUGGAGGAAGAGUUUGAAAGCGGGCUGGACAGAACCAGAAGUGUUACUGCCCACUCUUAGGCCACUGUGCUGAUUAAAUGGGUGUUGUUAGGUUUAGAUCAGUAGUUCGUUGUUGUUGGGUUUUUCGGUGGUGUUGAUUUUUUUUGUUGUCGUUGUGGGGGAUUGUUUGUUUGUUUUUACUUUGUUUUUUUUCUGUAUUAAAAAUCUGGCUCAGUUACUCUCUAGUUCUGGUGUGUUUUCUUUUCCAGGUGGUUGGUGUUUCUGCAGUGUUUGGCACAGGACUGGGGGAGAUUUUUACCCAGCUUUCUAAAGCUGUAGAUGAAUAGGAGAGACUGAAUGCACUCCCUUUAUUCACCUUUUCAGAGAGUAUCGUCCAGAAUACGAGCGCCUGAGAAAAACACUGGACAGUUCUCUGCAGGCACAGCUACACAGAGUUUGGCUUCCCGGCGCUGCUGAAAACGUCCUAGAAUCCCACCUGACUGGAGGUUGCUUUCCACGCUUAGUCAGAAGUUCUGUGAAACCUUAGUUGAAAUGUAAGACCUGCAUAGUGACUUCUGCUCUCUGACUGGGGGACAGGCUGCUGGGUUUGGGUGAGGUUUCUCUUCUCCUGGUGUUUUAAAUGUUCUCAGAAUCCACAGGUAAAUCUUUGUCUACGGGAGAAAGCUCAAAAUAAACAAAAGAGAGAGCAGCUGGAACACUUGUGGAAGGACAUGGGCAGCGUGUGUGUGCAGGGCAGCACAGUGGCAGGACCUGAUGCUUCUGCAAUGGGUCCCUCUGAGCUAAUACUAACACGAGGAACUCUCGAUGAAGAGCAAGAAGAGAGGGAGAGUGACGCUGAUGGCAUUGACCAUGAAGGUAAGGGAAUGAGGUCUAAAAGCUGCCUCUCAAGAAAUCCCCUCUAUAUUUCAUGUCCUGGAUGGACUGUAAGGAGAGCCUAGAAAACAAGCAAACAUUCAGUCACCUGACGUGUCAGAAUGUGUAGCAGAAGCUCAGCUGCAAUGGUCAGUGCAGGGAUAUCACUCUGUAACCUUUGUGAAAGUUCAAUUGUAAAUUUUCUAUUCAAGUAAUUAAUAGGUGUAUAACACACAUAGACCAGAGAACUCGUUAGGCUUGGGGCAUGCAGUGACCUCUGAACCUGAUUGAUGCACAGAUGUGUCCAUCAUCUUUUUGGCCUUACAGUUUCUGCCCCUGGCUCUCUUCCCUUUUCCUGUGACUGUGGUCUUGGAGCAAUCUUCUAAGUUGUUACAGUGUGAUUUUUCUCUUCUAUAGCUCACAGACUUAAUCUUCAUUCUUUCCCUGUUCCACUGAUGGGUAGGAUCACUUAUUUCCUUUGCCCUGUAAUGUAGCUGAAGAUGGAAUAGACUUUCUAUGUUGCUUUGGCUA